rnacentral:rRNA from 1 species
CAACCUACGGGGGGCUGCAGUGGGGAAUCUUGCGCAAUGGGCGAAAGCCUGACGCAGCCAUGCCGCGUGAAUGAUGAAGGUCUUAGGAUUGUAAAAUUCUUUCACCGGGGACGAUAAUGACGGUACCCGGAGAAGAAGCUCCGGCUAACUUCGUGCCAGCAGCCGCGGUAAUACGAAGGGGGCUAGCGUUGCUCGGAAUUACUGGGCGUAAAGGGCGCGUAGGCGGACAGCUUAGUCAGAGGUGAAAGCCCAGGGCUCAACCUUGGAAUUGCCUUUGAUACUGGCUGUCUUGAGUUUGGGAGAGGUGAGUGGAACUCCGAGUGUAGAGGUGAAAUUCGUAGAUAUUCGGAAGAACACCAGUGGCGAAGGCGACUCACUGGCCCAAUACUGACGCUGAGGCGCGAAAGCGUGGGGAGCAAACAGGAUUAGAUACCCCAGUAGUC